CCUAGGCCUCCCAAAGUGUACCACGCCCGGCCUUGUUUUAUUUUUAUAAGCAACAGACAGUCUCUAUAAUCUGUGGAAUCAGGGUAUAAUAUAAAUAAUAACACACCCAAAAGGUGGGCAAAGAGACAUCCACCCUGACACUCAAUCCUUUUGGUGCCAACCCCAUAGGCAGCCAAGAAGCCCUUUGACAAUGAAGAGAAAGGAACUGAAGCUGGAAGAUACAUGAAAGAUAAUUGGUAGCUUUGGGGCCGAUACAGCAAAGAAGUUGAAAGUGGUGUCUGCCAUUUAUAGAAAUGACUCAUUUCUUUAAGUGGCCUAAACCCUAUUACCAAUUUAACUCAUGCCCCCAACUCACAUAUUUCCCUGGCCAUCCCACCUUAAACAGAAUAAGACAGACAAGUUACUAUAUAUUUCACUAAGCAUUCGAAUUUAUUAGAGUCUGCACUUUGCUCAGAUGAAGGGUUUGUGGUCUUAUCCGCUGCUCCUAGCUGGGAGUUGGAGUGUGUUGCUCAGUUAAUAUAGUAUGUCCUCUGUAUGUUCUCCUGUAACAACUGGACAGUGUUUUCCUUGGCCAGAGGGGCUGAGCUGUAUUCACUUGCUCAAGGACUACAAGGUACCCAGUGGAAUGUUUCAUGUUUAUUGGCUCUUAAUGGACUACUACUGAGGACUUGAGGGAAACAAACUAUAAGCCAUUCAUGCUCAGUCAAGCUUCCUUGGAGGAGACUGAAUUCCCCCUGUGAUCGCUGCCACCCUGCUGAUUCAACCGCCACUCAGACUGCCAUCAGAGGUUACUGGCUCUAGACUCAAUGUCACGAGGAGAAUGACAGCCUCCACACAAUCUGUCCCGAAAGUCUUCUCAUCUCUCCACUUCAUGAGCCUUACUCCUGCACAUCACCAAAGACAAGAGAUGCAGACUUCCAGGAGUGAAAUAACAGAAAACAACCAGUGACUCACCGUGACACUGGAAAUGGCUGUGAAGAACGCAGAAUGCUGAGAGCCAACUGUCCAAUGGAUGAACAUGAGAAAGAACUAAGACAACCCCUCGAUUUCCUAAAUAUGCCAAAGGAAAGCCUCCCUUGGGGAAUGGCUGAUGCUUGGAAUAUAGAUGGCAUGUAUAAUUACUUAGUUUACAAACUGGGGUCAGUUUGACAUUAUAUGAUAAGCUGUAAGGAGAAGAAAUCUUCUUACCUCUCUACGUUCCUAAUUUGGCUGUAAAUGUGGUGUGCUGCAGGCAAGUCACAUUGGCACAUGAGAGCAGACUGUUAAAUUCUCAGAAAUUUUGUAAACCAGUUGUUAAACACAGGCAUCAUUAAGAAUUAAAGUAUAUAAACUUUCAAAUAAAUAAAUUUUAUCAAAAACAAAAAUAUAUUUUUUCAAAACUCAACACUUCCUAAUUAUUAUCAUUUUACUAUCAUCUAUGCUCUUGAAGUUAUAUUUUUAUCUAUUCUAUGGGCAUAAUGGAAACAAUAUGUCCAGCUCACUUUCCAACUUUUCCCUUAGUUGCAUCACACUGGUAGCUUGAGAUCAGCUAAGGUAGAGGUAUUCAUAUCACAAAAAUUGGCAAACACUACAAAUCAGGAUUUCAUUUGUCUUGUUGACUGUCUACACCACUAGUUCUCAACCAAGGUGACGUUUGCCCCUCCAAUGCCUAACAUUUGGCAAUGUCUCGAUAAAUUUUUGGUUCUUCCAACGGGGGAUUACUACUAGUAUCUAGUGGGUAGAGACCAUGGAUGCUGCUAAAUACCCUAUAAUUCACAGGACAACUGUAUUAAUCUGUCCUCACAUUGCUAAUAAAGACAUACCAGAGACUGGGUUACUUACAAAGGAAAGAGGCUUAAUUGAUUCACCGUUUCACAUGGCUGGGAGAACUCAC
rnacentral:lncRNA from 1 species